UAUAGUUGGGAUUCCAAUGUGCAUUACUUUGCAUUUCACAAUAGAUCAUAACCUUUGCAAAGAUAUGUUACAUGGCAUAUCUAACAUAAAAAUUAUUCCAGUUAUGUCGUAUGUACACUCAUAAGCAUACUUCAUAAGCAUUAUGGGGUACAAUGUCA